rnacentral:tmRNA from 1 species
GGUGCGCACGAGUUUGUCGUUGGACGCUUGUGCAUCAUCCUUAAAUCAACGACUAAGCAUGUAGUCGCCUUAAUACGAACGACUUACGGACCCGGGUUCGACUCCCGGCGCCUCCACCA